AAUCCCAUAACCUACUGUGCCCCUUUGGUUUGCGUAGUAUGAUGGGCAACUAUCUCCUGAUAACCAUUUCGUUUUCGGUUUUCAGUAUUUGUUCACUUCUUAUUGUUUUGAGAACUGAAAGCUAAAAACUAACUGAAAUGGUUAUCAAACGGGCUCUAAGUUUACAAUAAAAGUUUCCGAAUCAUAAUCAUAAGAAAGAUAACCCUUGAAAGAUAAACUUGGUAUUUUAUGUUGCGAGAAGUGCUAGGAUCUUAAUUAACUGAAAAAGAAAAACCAUAACAUAGAAGUUCUAAGUCAUUUUGGAAUGCUUUGGAAGUGAACAAAUUCAGAAAACAAUUUUAGAAACCAAGCUCGAGCCUGGCCUGGCCGGGACUGGACUGGACUGGACUGGACUGGAUGUGAUAAAUCGUCCAGAACAUUGUGACGAGGAGAGGAUCUUUGGGUUGAUCUUCCCUUCUUUGCUCAGAAGUCUUAUACCAGCUAAGAACGUACUUGCUUUGACGCUCCUCACAAUGAUGAUGCUUUUUCUGUUUUAUUCAUUAAUCAAUGUUGUACCCUGUAACCUGUUCCACAUGUAAUGUAUAUUUGUUGUCAUAAGCAACAACUUUCACAUCCUUUUUAUACUUAAUCUUGGCUACUCCUCCGUAACUGUUUAGAGGAUUUAUUAGGAUCUCUCCUUCCAUUGUCAAUGCUGUUCUGUCAAGGACUCGAAGGAAAUUUGUUGUUUAUUUCAUUAACCUUUCAGACCCUGCGUAAAGCGGGAGCCUUGUGCACUGGGUACGAUCUUUUUUUAUUUCAUUAACCUUUCACUGUACGUGUAGCUUGUCAUCUGCUGUUAUUAUUUU
rnacentral:lncRNA from 1 species